rnacentral:lncRNA from 1 species
CACAGGCUCCUUCCUUGCCUUGCCCAGUCCUGGGCCUCCAGCCUCCCUGCCCUGAGCAUCUCUAGGGAUUUCCCUGUGCAGCUGGAAGUCAGCAGGGGGUGUCUGGCCCGAACCAGGGACAGCCCUGGGACCUCCUUGUCAGGGGAGUGGCAGCCCCUGCCUUGGGCUGAGCAUCGGGCAGAAGGGAGUUUCAGUGGCCAUGUGGAUGCUCGAGGAGCCAGGGUGCUUGGCCAUGGGUCACCUCCUGACAGAUGGAAAGCUCGC